rnacentral:rRNA from 1 species
UACGAAGGGUGCAAACGUUGCUCGGAAUUAUUGGGCGUAAAGCGCACGUAGGCGGUUUGGAAAGUCCCAUGUGAAAUCCCACAGACUUGAACUGAUGGAAGUGGCAUGGGAAACCUCCAGGACGUUGAGUACGAAAGAGGAGUCGCGGAAAUUCCCGGUGUAGAGGUGAAAAUUCGUAGAUAUCAGGAAGGAACACCCGUGGCGAAGGCGGUUCUCUGGGACGGUACUGACGCUGAGACGCGAAAGCGUGGGGAGCGAACAGG